UAUAUCAAAAUUUGGGUGGGUCUAUGGA
rnacentral:sRNA from 1 species